GUAUGCAUGUUUCUAGUGCUUUUAACCAUUGAUGACACUUAGAGGUGAUAUUGGAAAACUGUUAAUAAUGUGAAAAGGUCAUUCCUCUAAGUGAUGUGGACAUCAGAGAUACACAGAUGAACAAUUAACACACUGACAGGCCGUA